rnacentral:rRNA from 1 species
AAACGGGUGGUAAUGCCGGAUGCUCCAGUUGAUCGCAUGGUCUUCUGGGAAAGCUUUCGCGGUAUGGGAUGGGGUCGCGUCCUAUCAGCUUGACGGCGGGGUAACGGCCCACCGUGGCUUCGACGGGUAGCCGGCCUGAGAGGGCGACCGGCCACAUUGGGACUGAGAUACGGCCCAGACUCCUACGGGAGGCAGCAGUGGGGAAUAUUGCACAAUGGGCGCAAGCCUGAUGCAGCGACGCCGCGUGAGGGAUGGAGGCCUUCGGGUUGUAAACCUCUUUUAUCGGGGAGCAAGCGWGAGUGAGUUUACCCGUUGAAUAAGCACCGGCUAACUACGUGCCAGCAGCCGCGGUAAUACGUAGGGUGCAAGCGUUAUCCGGAAUUAUUGGGCGUAAAGGGCUCGUAGGCGGUUCGUCGCGUCCGGUGUGAAAGUCCAUCGCUUAACGGUGGAUCCGCGCCGGGUACGGGCGGGCUUGAGUGCGGUAGGGGAGACUGGAAUUCCCGGUGUAACGGUGGAAUGUGUAGAUAUC